rnacentral:antisense_RNA from 1 species
CCUUUAUUAGCCGCAUUCUUUAAACCAGUAUUUUGUUGUCUUUCAU